CCCUUCCCAGGCGUUUAGAGC
rnacentral:misc_RNA from 1 species